GUGCUCACCUGGUGGCGAGGUACCGCGAUCUCGCAGGGCAGCUCAGCCCUUACACUGCACGUACCCUGACAGCUGCGGUUUUCCCAAAUGUGGGAAAUUUGACUGCGUGGCUAGUGGUAGUAGGGGACUGCAUUUACACUUCCCCCGA
ensembl:snRNA U1 U1 spliceosomal RNA